UACGUAGGGGGCUAGCGUUGUCCGGAAUCAUUGGGCGUAAAGCGCGUGUAGGCGGCCCGGUAAGUCCGCUGUGAAAGUCAAAGGCUCAACCUUUGAAUGUCAGCGGAUACUGCCAGGCUAGAGUCCGGAAGAGGCGAGUGGAACUCCUGGUGUAGCGGUGGAAUGCGCAGAUAUCAGGAAGAACACCGGUGGCGAAGGCGGUUCUCUGGGCAUGAUCUGACGCUGAGGAGCGAAAGUGUGGGGAGCGAACAGG
rnacentral:rRNA from 1 species